AUUGAACGCUGGCGGCAUGCCUUACACAUGCAAGUCGAACGGCAGCACGGACUUCGGUCUGGUGGCGAGUGGCGAACGGGUGAGUAAUGUAUCGGAACGUACCUUUCAGUGGGGGAUAACGUAGCGAAAGUUACGCUAAUACCGCAUAUUCUGUGAGCAGGAAAGCAGGGGAGCGAAAGACCUUGCGCUGAUUGAGCGGCCGAUAUCAGAUUAGCUAGUUGGUGGGGUAAAGGCCUACCAAGGCGACGAUCUGUAGCGGGUCUGAGAGGAUGAUCCGCCACACUGGAACUGAGACACGGUCCAGACUCCUACGGGAGGCAGCAGUGGGGAAUUUUGGACAAUGGGGGCAACCCUGAUCCAGCCAUGCCGCGUGAGUGAAGAAGGCCUUCGGGUUGUAAAGCUCUUUCGGCCGGGAAGAAAUCGCAUAGGCUAAUACCCUGUGUGGAUGACGGUACCGGAAUAAGAAGCACCGGCUAACUACGUG
rnacentral:rRNA from 1 species